UGGGGAAUAUUGCACAAUGGGCGCAAGCCUGAUGCAGCAACGCCGCGUGAACGAUGAAGGUCUUCGGAUCGUAAAGUUCUGUUGCAGGGGAAGAUAAUGACGGUACCCUGUGAGGAAGCCCCGGCUAACUACGUGCCAGCAGCCGCGGUAAUACGUAGGGGGCUAGCGUUAUCCGGAUUUACUGGGCGUAAAGGGUGCGUAGGUGGUCUUUCAAGUCGGUGGUUAAAGGCUACGGCUCAACCGUAGUAAGCCACCGAAACUGGAGGACUUGAGUGCAGGAGAGGAAAGUGGAAUUCCCAGUGUAGCGGUGAAAUGCGUAGAUAUUGGGAGGAACACCAGUAGCGAAGGCGGCUUUCUGGACUGCAACUGACACUGAGGCACGAAAGCGUGGGUAGCAAACAGG
rnacentral:rRNA from 1 species